rnacentral:tRNA from 1 species
GAGAUCUUAGCUUAGUUAAAGCGUCUGAGUUGCAGUUAGAAGAGGUGGUUAAAGCUCUACAGAUCUUC